AUUCCUGUGAUUUCAUAUACCAAAUUGAACUUCGUAACUAAUAUGCAUGCUGUCAGUCAUUCCAACAAGUUGACUUUUAGCGCUGACCCAUCAUGCUGUCAAAAGCCUAAAACUAAUGUUUGAAGUUCACAUAAAGUGGAAUACAACUGUGAGGAGAUAAGGUAUUUUCCCACUACUGCUACCACACCAACCACACUACGUCAAAUGCCUUACUAAAUCAUCACCCAAAUGAUAAAGGAAAUUUAUCCCACCCGAGGAGUAAUGCUGUUGGC
rnacentral:lncRNA from 1 species